rnacentral:rRNA from 1 species
GAUGAACGCUAGCUACAGGCUUAACACAUGCAAGUCGAGGGGAAACGAUAUUGGAAGCUUGCUUCUGAUAGGCGUCGACCGGCGCACGGGUGAGUAACGCGUAUCCAACCUGCCCAUCACUUGGGGAUAACCUUGUGAAAGUAAGACUAAUACCCAAUGACGUCUCUAGAAGACAUCUGAAAGAGAUUUAAAAGAUUUAUCGGUGAUGGAUGGGGAUGCGUCUGAUUAGCUUGUUGGCGGGGUAACGGCCCACCAAGGCGACGAUCAGUAGGGGUUCUGAGAGGAAGGUCCCCCACAUUGGAACUGAGACACGGUCCAAAACUCCUACGGGAGGCAGCAGUGAGGAAUAUUGGUCAAUGGACGAGAGUCUGAACCAGCCAAGUAGCGUGCAGGAUGGCGGCCCUAUGGGUUGUAAACUGCUUUUAUAAGGGAAUAAAGUGAGUCUCGUGAGACUUUUUGCAUGUACCUUAUGAAUAAGGACGGCUAAUUCCGUGCCAG